AUAUGCUUGUCUCAAAGAUUAAGCCAUGCAUGUCUAUGCACAAGCCGAUUAAUGGUGAAGCCGCGAAUGGCUCAUUACAACAGCCACUGUUUACUUGAUCUUGACUAUCCUACUUGGAUAACUGUGGUAAUUCUAGAGCUAAUACACGCAAUAAAGCUCCGACCUUACGGGACGAGCGCAUUUAUUAGACCAAAACCAAUCGGGCUUCGGCCUGAACGGUGGUGACUCUGAAUAACUGAGCUGAUCGCAUGGUCUUUGUACCGGCGACGCAUCUUUCAAGUGUCUGCCUUAUCAACUUUCGAUGGUAGUUUAUGUGCCUACCAUGGUUGUUACGGGUAACGGAGAAUAAGGGUUCGACUCCGGAGAGGGAGCCUGAGAAACGGCUACCACAUCCAAGGAAGGCAGCAGGCGCGCAAAUUACCCACUCUCGGCACGAGGAGGUAGUGACGAAAAAUAACGAGGCGGUUCUCUAAGAGGCCCGCUAUCGGAAUGGGUACAAUUUAAACCCUUUAACGAGGACCUAUGAGAGGGCAAGUCUGGUGCCAGCAGCCGCGGUAAUUCCAGCUCUCAAGGUGUAUAUCGCCAUUGCUUCGGUUAAAAAGCUCGUAGUUGGAUCUGCGCCUUCGGACUCGGUCCGCCCAACGGGUGUGAACUGGGAUCCAAGGCUUAUACUGCUGGUUUUCCCUCGAUGCUCUUUACUGGGUGUCUUGGGUGGCUAGCGAGUUUACUUUGAAAAAAUUAGAGUGCUUAACACAGGCUAUCGCCUGAAUACUUGUGCAUGGAAUAAUAGAAUAAGACCACGGCUCUAUUUUAUUGGUUUUCGGAACUGUGAUAAUGGUUAAGAGGGACAGACGGGGGCAUUCGUAUCGCUGCGUGAGAGGUGAAAUUCUUGGACCGCAGCGAGACGCCCUACUGCGAAAGCAUUUGCCAAGAAUGUCUUCGUUAAUCAAGAACGAAAGUCAGAGGUUCGAAGGCGAUCAGAUACCGCCCUAGUUCUGACCGUAAACGAUGCCAACUAGCGAUCCGCC
rnacentral:rRNA from 1 species